UACGAAGGGGGCUAGCGUUGCUCGGAAUCACUGGGCGUAAAGCGCACGUAGGCGGAUCUUUAAGUCAGAGGUGAAAUCCCAAGGCUCAACCUUGGAACUGCCUUUGAUACUGGGAAUCUCGAGUCCGGGAGAGGUGAGUGGAACUGCGAGUGUAGAGGUGAAAUUCGUAGAUAUUCGCAAGAACACCAGUGGCGAAGGCGGCUCACUGGCCCGGUACUGACGCUGAGGUGCGAAAGCGUGGGGAGCAAACAGG
rnacentral:rRNA from 1 species